rnacentral:tmRNA from 13 species
GGGGGCGACCUGGCUUCGACGGGGAGAGAGAAUUCGAGAGCGCGUGCCGAGGUCCCCGACAACCUCGCUAAUCCUCGGGAAAAAAAUCAAACGCCAACGAUAACUCGUAUGCGUUGGCCGCCUAAAGAGAUUUAGGUAGCCCGUUGGCGUCCGUGGGGCCUACAACGCGGACGCCGACGCCAUCUACAGCAGGCUAGCCGAUCACUCUUGUUCAGGGGCGGCCGGCGAAACUCUCUGAACUGGUCCAAUCCGGAUCCUGUCAGUCGGAGCUGGUGAGGAUGAGAAAGCCGUAGCAUAGACUGACUACGCACGUAGUGGUCUCGUAGGACCUAUUCUCGGACGCGGGUUCGAUUCCCGCCGCCUCCACCA